CUAUGGAGUGUUUUUGCUUCAAGAUUUGACCACUGGCCCUGCAGGUCCAGCUGUGAGUGGGUCAGCAGAGUGGUUUACAGCUCCAACUAUUGUUGGAAGUCAUUCCAUCUUUGGGACAAGGAACUAUAACUUAAUUAUACACAAAAGUGACUAUGAAAUACAUAAAUAUCUCUUCACAAGUCAAAAGAGACUAACUCCCAGGAUUUUAUGUAAUAUUAGAAGCUGAUGUUAAAUGGAUCAGGGAUUUCCCAAGAUUUAGUUGAUAUCCAGGUUUUGGCUAUUUGAUCUAUUUUGGCAGAGAUAGUCUACUGGCAACUGCUCUUGGGGGCAAGAAUGGAUCUUUGGAUUUCACACCAUCAUGUCUUACAAUUGUGCUUUGCAAGGUAA